UGGGGAAUUUUGGACAAUGGGCGAAAGCCUGAUCCAGCAAUGCCGCGUGAGUGAAGAAGGCCUUCGGGUUGUAAAGCUCUUUUGUCAGGGAAGAAACGGUGAAAGCUAAUAUCUUUUGCUAAUGACGGUACCUGAAGAAUAAGCACCGGCUAACUACGUGCCAGCAGCCGCGGUAAUACGUAGGGUGCGAGCGUUAAUCGGAAUUACUGGGCGUAAAGCGUGCGCAGGCGGUUAUAUAAGACAGAUGUGAAAUCCCCGGGCUCAACCUGGGAACUGCGCUUGUGACUGCUAAGCUAGAGUACGGCAGAGGGGGGUGGAAUUCCACGUGUAGCAGUGAAAUGCGUAGAUAUGCGGAGGAACACCGAUGGCGAAGGCAAUCCCCUGGACCUGUACUGACGCUCAUGCACGAAAGCGUGGGGAGCAAACA
rnacentral:rRNA from 1 species